rnacentral:rRNA from 1 species
GACGUAGGAUGCACGCGUUGUCCGGAUUUAUUGGGUUUAAAGGGUGCGUAGGCGGCCUAUUAAGUCAGGGGUGAAAGACGGUAGCUUAACUAUCGCAGUGCCUUUGAUACUGAUGGGCUUGAAUGUACUUGAGGUAGGCGGAAUGUGACAAGUAGCGGUGAAAUGCAUAGAUAUGUCACAGAACACCAAUUGCGAAGGCAGCUUACUAAAGUAUGAUUGACGCUGAGGCACGAAAGCGUGGGGAUCAAACAGG